rnacentral:rRNA from 1 species
GGAGUUAAGAAAUGUAGAUUCGCUAAUAUCGGAUCUAUUUGACAAAGGCUCCAAAGGAAGCCACGGCUAACUCUGUGCCAGCAGCCGCGGUAAUACAGAGGUGGCAAGCGUUGUUCGGAAUUAUUGGGCGUAAAGAGCACGUAGGUGGAUUUGUAAGUCAGAUGUGAAAGCCUUCUGUUCAACGGGAGAAUUGCAUCUGAAACUACAGACCUUGAGUAUAGGAGGGGAGAGUGGAACUUCUG